rnacentral:rRNA from 1 species
GUGAGGAAUUUUCCGCAAUGGGCGAAAGCCUGACGGAGCAAUGCCGCGUGAAGGAUGAAGGCCUAUGGGUUGUAAACUUCUUUUCUCAGAAAAGAAUUAUGACGGUAUCUGAGGAAUAAGCAUCGGCUAACUCUGUGCCAGCAGCCGCGGUAAGACAGAGGAUGCAAGCGUUAUCCGGAAUGAUUGGGCGUAAAGCGUCUGUAGGUUGUUUCAAAAGUAUUCUGUCAAAGAUUAGGGCUUAACCCUAGAUAGGCAGAAUAAACUUUUAAGCUAGAGUUUGGUAGAGGCAGAGGGAAUUCCCGGUGGAGCGGUGAAAGGCGUAGAUAUCGGGAGGAACACCAAAGGCGAAGGCACUCUGCUGGGCCAAUACUAACACUGAGAGACGAAAGCGAGGGGAGCAAAUGGGAUUAGAAACCCGUGUAGUCC